rnacentral:rRNA from 1 species
GAUGAACGCUGGCGGCGUGCCUAAUACAUGCAAGUCGAACGAGGUGCUUUUUGUAGCAAUACGAGGAGUAUCCUAGUGGCGAACGGGUGAGUAACGCGUGGGUGACCUACCCCAAAGUGUGGAAUAACAGUCCGAAAGGAUUGCUAAUGCCGCAUGUGGUCUGCGAGUUUAGAAAUCGUUGACUAAAGGAGCAAUUCGCUUUGGGAGGGACCUGCGUCCCAUCAGCUAGUUGGUGAGGUAAAGGCUCACCAAGGCGACGAUCUGUAGCGGGUCUGAGAGGAUGAUCCGCCGCACUGGAACUGAGACACGGUCCAGACUCCUACGGGAGGCGGCAGUGGGGAAUUUUGGACAAUGGGCGCAAGCCUGAUCCAGCCAUGCCGCGUGAGUGAAGAAGGCCUCGG